rnacentral:piRNA from 1 species
UAGAAGAUAUGAUAUGGGUCUUGUUUUUGU